rnacentral:rRNA from 1 species
UACAGAGGUCUCAAGCGUUAAUCGGAAUUACUGGGCGUAAAGUGUGCGCAGGCGGCCGCGCAAGUCGAGUGUGAAAGCCCCGGGCUUAACUUGGGAAUUGCGCUCGAAACUACGUGGCUGGAGUGUGGCAGAGGAAGGUGGAAUCCACGUGUAGCGGUGAAAUGCGUAGGAGAUGUGGAGGAACACCAAUGGCGAAGGCAG